GACGAACGCUGGCGGCGUGCCUAACACAUGCAAGUCGAACGGACGAAGCCCUUCGGGGCCUAGUUAGUGGCGAACGGGUGAGUAACGCGUGAGGAACCUGCCUUUCAGAGGGGGACAACAGUUGGAAACGACUGCUAAUACCGCAUAACGCACAGAGAUGGCAUCAUCACUGUGCCAAAGAUUUAUCGCUGAAAGAUGGCCUCGCGUCUGAUUAGAUAGUUGGUGGGGUAACGGCCUACCAAGUCGACGAUCAGUAGCCGGACUGAGAGGUUGAACGGCCACAUUGGGACUGAGACACGGCCCAGACUCCUACGGGAGGCAGCAGUGGGGAAUAUUGCGCAAUGGGGGGAACCCUGACGCAGCAACGCCGCGUGAAGGAAGAAGGUCUUCGGAUUGUAAACUUUUGUCUUCAAGGAAGAAAAAUGACUGUACUUGGGGAGAAGCUCCGGCUAACUACGUG
rnacentral:rRNA from 1 species